AGCGAACGCUGGCGGCAGGCCUAACACAUGCAAGUCGAACGGCUCUUCGGAGCAGUGGCGGACGGGUGAGUAACGCGUGGGAACGUGCCCUUUGGUACGGAACAACUGAGGGAAACUUCAGCUAAUACCGUAUGUGCCCCUCUUCUUAGCGGAAGGGGUGGGAAAGAUUUAUCGCCAUUGGAGCGGCCCGCGUUGGAUUAGGUAGUUGGUGGGGUAAAGGCCUACCAAGCCUACGAUCCAUAGCUGGCUGAGAGGAUGAUCAGCCACACUGGGACUGAGACACGGCCCAGACUCCUACGGGAGGCAGCAGGUGGGGAAUCUUGCGCAAUGGGCGAAAGCCUGACGCAGCCAUGCCGCGUGUAUGAUGAA
rnacentral:rRNA from 1 species